rnacentral:rRNA from 1 species
AAUAGAUACCCCGGUAGUCCACGCCGUAAACGAUGAGUGCUAAGUGUUAGAGGGUUUCCGCCCUUUAGUGCUGCAGCUAACGCAUUAAGCACUCCGCCUGGGGAGUACGGCCGCAAGGCUGAAACUCAAAGGAAUUGACGGGGGCCCGCACAAGCGGUGGAGCAUGUGGUUUAAUUCGAAGCAACGCGAAGAACCUUACCAGGUCUUGACAUCUCCUGGCAAUCCUAGAGAUAGGACGUUCCCCUUCGGGGGACAGGAUGACAGGUGGUGCAUGGUUGUCGUCAGCUCGUGUCGUGAGAUGUUGGGUUAAGUCCCGCAACGAGCGCAACCCUUGAUCUUAGUUGCCAGCAUUCAGUUGGGCACUCUAAGGUGACUGCCGGUGACAAACCGGAGGAAGGUGGGGAUGACGUCAAAUCAUCAUGCCCCUUAUGACCUGGGCUACACACGUGCUACAAUGGAUGGUACAAAGGGCUGCAAAACCGCGAGGUUAAGCCAAUCCCAUAAAACCAUUCUCAGUUCGGAUUGCAGG